GACCGCCACCUGGGCGUCGGUCAUCUCCGCGCUGACCGAGACGGCGAGCACCGUGUUGUGGCCGGCGGCGA
rnacentral:tRNA from 1 species